UACGGAGGGUGCAAGCGUUAUCCGGAAUCACUGGGCGUAAAGGGCGCGUAGGCGGUCUGUUAAGUCUGGCGUUAAAGCCUGGGGCUCAACCCCAGAUCAGCGUUGGAUACUGGCAGGCUAGACGGUUGGAGAGGCGAGUGGAAUUACCAGUGUAGCGGUGGAAUGCGUAGAUACUGGUAGGAACACCCAUUGCGAAGGCAGCUCGCUGGACAACACGUGACGCUGAGGCGCGAAAGUGUGGGGAGCAAACCGGAUUAGAUACCCGCGUAGU
rnacentral:rRNA from 1 species